CCUACGGGAGGCUGCAGUGAGGAAUAUUGGUCAAUGGACGGAAGUCUGAACCAGCCAUGCCGCGUGCAGGAAGACGGCUCUAUGAGUUGUAAACUGCUUUUGUACAAGGGUAAACCUGAAUACGUGUAUUCAGCUGAAAGUACUGUACGAAUAAGGAUCGGCUAACUCCGUGCCAGCAGCCGCGGUAAUACGGAGGAUCCAAGCGUUAUCCGGAUUUAUUGGGUUUAAUGGGUGCGUAGGCGGAUGGAUAAGUUAGCGGUGAAAUGUCCGAGCUUAACUCGGGAACUGCCUCUAAUACUGUUCAUCUAGAGAGUGAGUGCGGUAGGCGGAAUGUAUGGUGUAGCGGUGAAAUGCUUAGAGAUCAUACAGAACACCGAUUGCGAAGGCAGCUUACCAAUCUAUAUCUGACGUUGAGGCACGAAAGCGUGGGGAGCGAACAGGAUUAGAUACCCGGGUAGUC
rnacentral:rRNA from 1 species